UACGGAGGGGGCUAGCGUUGUUCGGAUAUACUGGGCGUAAAGCGCACGUAGGCGGCGCAGUAAGUCAGGGGUGAAAUCCCGGGGCUCAACCCCGGAACUGCCCUUGAAACUGCAGUGCUAGAAUCUUGGAGAGGCGAGUGGAAUUCCGAGUGUAGAGGUGAAAUUCGUAGAUAUUCGGAAGAACACCAGUGGCGAAGGCGACUCGCUGGACAAGUAUUGACGCUGAGGUGCGAAAGCGUGGGGAGCAAACAGG
rnacentral:rRNA from 1 species